rnacentral:rRNA from 1 species
AAUGAACGUUGGCGGCGUGGAUUAGGCAUGCAAGUCGAGCGCGAUAUGUAGCAAUACAUGGAGAGCGGCGAAAGGGAGAGUAAUACGUAGGUAUCUACCCUCGGGUCUGGGAUAGCAGCGGGAAACUGCUGGUAAUACCAGAUAACGUCUCCGGACCAAAGGUGUGAUUCCAUCUGAGGAGGAGCCUACGGCCUAUUAGCUAGUUGGUAGGGUAACGGCCUACCAAGGCAAAGAUGGGUAUGGGGUGUGAGAGCAUGCCCCCACUCACUGGGACUGGGACACCGCCCAGACACCUACGGGUGGCUUCAGUCGAGAAUCUUCGGCAAUGGGCUAAAGCCUGCCCGAGCUACGCCGCGUGCGGGAUGAAGGCCUUCGGGUUGUAAACCGCUGUCGUAGUGGAGGAAAUGUAGUAGAGUUAUCUCUUUUACUUGACUAACACUAGGAGGAAGGACCGGCUAAUCUCGUGCCAGCCGCCGCGGUAAAAC